rnacentral:rRNA from 1 species
UUCGGUUUGGGUGGCGGACGGGUGAGUAACGCGUAAAGAACUUGCCUCACAGUUAGGGACAACAUUUGGAAACGAAUGCUAAUACCUGAUAUUAUGAUUUUAGGGCAUCCUAAGAUUAUGAAAGCUAUAUGCACUGUGAGAGAGCUUUGCGUCCCAUUAGCUAGUUGGAGAGGUAACGGCUCACCAAGGCGAUGAUGGGUAGCCGGCCUGAGAGGGUGAACGGCCACAAGGGGACUGAGACACGGCCCUUACUCCUACGGGAGGCAGCAGUGGGGAAUAUUGGACAAUGGACCAAAAGUCUGAUCCAGCAAUUCUGUGUGCACGAUGACGUUUUUCGGAAUGUAAAGUGCUUUCAGUUGGGAAGAAAAAAAUGACGGUACCAACAGAAGAAGUGACGGCUAAAUACGUGCCAGCAGCCGCGGUAAUACGUAUGUCACAAGCGUUAUCCGGAUUUAUUGGGCGUAAAGCGCGUCUAGGUGGUUAUGUAAGUCUGAUGUGAAAAUGCAGGGCUCAACUCUGUAUUGCGUUGGAAACUGCAUGACUAGAGCACUGGAGAGGUAAGCGGAACUACAAGUGUAGAGGUGAAAUGCGUAGAUAUUAGGAGGAAUACCGGUGGCGAAGGCGACUUGCUGGACUUCAACUGACGCUGAGGAACGAAAGCGUGGGUAGCAAACAGGAUUAGAUAUCCUGGUAGUCCACGCCGUAAACGAUGAGUGCUAGGUGUCGGGGGUCAAACCUCGGUGCC